GGUUUGGUUUCGGUUUGAGGAAAUAAAAAACCGAAAAAAACCGAAAACCGAAAUUUUGGCCCAACAUAAAAAAAACCCUUGGCCCAGCCCAAAUUUACCCUAAGUAUAAAAUCAGAAAAAAAAAAACCCUAAGUCCCUAACCCUCAAUCCCUCAUUCUCUCUCGGUCUCUCCUAGUCUCCUGACUUCCUCUCCUCUAAUCCUCUUGCGAAUUUCUCAGUUUCAUUGCGAAUCCAGAUAGCUCACCUUUUCAGUUUCACUCUCCACCGUUGCCGUUCACCACUUCACCACUUCACCGUUCAGAUUGUUGUAGGGUUCUAUGCUGCUGAGUGCUGACCUGCUGUAAUGAUGUUGCUGCUGCCCUGCUGCUUGUUGCUACUGCUGUUAAACAAUUGUUAAAGUUGUAAUGUUGAACAAUUUUAUUUUUUUUUGGGAUGAGGUGUUGAGCUUUUAUAACUUUGAAUUAUAACUUUGAAGUUUUAGAACUUGUUAAUGUUGUUUAAAUCUCAUUAAGCAUUUAUGCUACUACA